rnacentral:rRNA from 1 species
CGAGGCCCCAGGUCAGGCGGGAUUACCC